GCUUUCUGGUCCGGUUCGUGGAGUCGGUGGACCAGCUCCGGGAAUGAUGCAGCCUCAGAUCUCUCGUCCGCCGCAGCUUUCAGCUCCUCCGAUUAUGCGACCUCCAGGACAGAUGCUUCCGCCGCCUCCGGCUUUUGGUGGUCAAGGUCCUCCUCCGAUGGGACGAGGUCCUCCUCCGCCUUAUGGUAUGAGGCCGCCACCGCAACAGCAGUUUCCUGGACCACCGCCUCCGUAUGGUCAAAGGCCAAUGGUUCCUCCGCCUGGUGGUAUGAUGAGAGGACCUCCUCCACCUCCUCAUGGGAUGCAAGGACCGCCUCCGCCUCGUCCUGGAAUGCCUCCUCCUCCUGGUGGUUUUGCUCCGCCGCGUCCUGGCAUGCCACCACCGCCUAAUCCCCAUAAUCAGCAGCAGUGAUUAGGUUAGCUAUGAGGUUGCCUUUUGUCUCGGCUUUUACUGUUUUUUUCUGCUGUUUCUUUGAGAUUGUGAAGGCAUUAUUAAGUUGUUUGAUUCGACUUAUCCUCAGGUUACAAUGUCGUGCUUUCAUGUUGCCUUUCAUAACUUGGCCGAAUUUCUGUUCUAUCUUAGCUUUGCAGAGUUUGUAGAUUUGUUGACGAGUGAUUGUCUUUGCAUUAUCUUCUUGUGUUUCUUUGAAAGAAGGAUUUCAGUAAACCUGGUUAUCUUCUUCUUAUUUUGCACCUGAAUAUUUAUGUUCAACGUGAAACAUCUAAAACUUUAUGAUUGCUGUACAGUGAUUAAGUCUUUUUAAGGUUGAAACAGCAACAUUCUUGCGCCAUUUUGAGAAAUUUAACGUCCUCUUAGAAACUAAUCAGAACUUGGUCGCCAUUAGUGAUCACAUCUGAGUCUUAUACGAAGAAGAGAUAAAUUGGUUAAUGACGCUUAAUUACCUCUCUGG
rnacentral:lncRNA from 1 species